GGCUCUUUCCGCUGAGCCGCGCUGCUUCCCAAGAUGAGUUCAGAUUUCAUCUCUCUAUUUGUCCGGGAACAGCAGCGAGACAGCGAAGCGGAAAGCCGAAGCCUCUAGGUACGCCGAAACCUUGCCGACGUUGGAGAUAGGAGCUCCGUUUUAGCAUUUAGAUGGGAUGCAUUUUUUUUUUUUUUUAGACUGUCACUGUGGAUAGGAUGUUUAAUUGUUUUAAUCAAACCCAACAGCUUGAGAAUAAUUGGGUUUUUAAUCUGUUUUCAUUUUAUCUUGUCCAGUUGAAUUGCAGUACACCCACUUGUUCAUCAAAGCUCGAUGGUUCCAAGUAACGGAUUUACAAUUUGAUGGGAAAGAAAUCGUUUUAGAAUUCUUGCUAUUUUUUGAUGGAGCGUUAAUAAAUAGAAGGUGACUGUAUUUGCGCCCU